ACGCUCGACACCUACGGGAGGCAGCAGUCGGGAAUAUUGCGCAAUGGAGGAAACUCUGACGCAGUGACGCCGCGUGCAGGAAGAAGGUUUUCGGAUUGUAAACUGCUUUAGACAGGGAAGAAGAAGUGACAGUACCUGUAGAAUAAGCUCCGGCUAACUACGUGCCAGUAGCCGCGGUAAUCUGAGCGGGCUGGCAAGGC
rnacentral:rRNA from 1 species